AAAAGAUUAGUUAAAUAAAUAACAUAAAUAUGUCAAAUUUAAAUUAUUACUUAAAAAUAAUAUCUUUUU
rnacentral:tRNA from 1 species